UCCUACGGGACGCAGCAGUGGGGAAUUUUGGACAAUGGGCGCAAGCCUGAUCCAGCUAUUCCGCGUGUGGGAUGAAGGCCCUCGGGUUGUAAACCACUUUUGUAGAGAACGAAAAGACACCUUCGAAUAAAGGGUGUUGCUGACGGUACUCUAAGAAUAAGCACCGGCUAACUACGUGCCAGCAGCCGCGGUAAUACGUAGGGUGCGAGCGUUAUCCGGAUUUAUUGGGUUUAAAGGGUGCGCAGGCGGCGAGUUAAGUCAGCGGUAAAAUUGCGGGGCUCAACCCCGUCGAGCCGUUGAAACUG
rnacentral:rRNA from 1 species